rnacentral:rRNA from 1 species
UACGUAGGGUGCAAGCGUUGUCCGGAAUUAUUGGGCGUAAAGAGCUUGUAGGCGGUUUGUCGCGUCUGCUGUGAAAUUUCGGGGCUCAACCCCGAACUUGCAGUGGGUACGGGCAGACUAGAAUGUGGUAGGGGAGACUGGAAUUCCUGGUGUAGCGGUGAAAUGCGUAGAUAUCUGGAGGAAUACCGGUGGCGAAGGCGGCAUCCUGGACCGACAUUGACGCUGAUGAGCGAAAGCUAGGGGAGCAAACGGG